UAUGCCACGCUUCUAGGCAAAGUUUUUGACCAUAGCUUCUACCACAUACAAUCGCUAUGGUCAAAGACUUUGCCUAGAAGUGUGGCAUAUAAAUAUG